rnacentral:rRNA from 1 species
UGAAUACGAGACGCUAAGGCGUCGAAGUAGUGUAUGUCAUACUUCCAAGAAAAGCCUGCACUGUCAUAGAUAAAAAACGCCUGUACCAUAACCGACACAGGUGGGUAGGUAGAGUAUACUAAGGGGCGCGAGAUAACUCUCUCUAAGGAACUCGGCAAAAUAACUCCGUAACUUCGGGAGAAGGAGUGCCUUAUUCGUAAGGUUGCAAUAACAAGAUCCAAGCAACUGUUUAUCAAAAACACAGGUCUCCGCUAAGUCGUAAGACGAUGUAUGGGGGCUGACGCCUGCCCAGUGCCAGAAGGUUAAAGAAGUUGGUUAGCAAUUGCGAAGCUGAUAACUGAAGCCCUGGUGAACGGCGGCCGUAACGAUAACGGUCCUAAGGUAGCGAAAUUCCUUGUCGGGUAAGUUCCGACCCGCACGAAAGGCGUAAUGAUUUGGAUACUGUCUCGGAGAGGGGCUCGGUGAAAUAGACUUGUCUGUGAAGAUGCGGACUACCUGCACCAGGACAGAAAGACCCUAUGAAGCUUUACUGUAACUUGAAAUUGAAAUUGGACUUUAUUCGCGCAGUAUAGGUGGGAGGCGUUGAUUAUAAUCUUGUGGGAUUAUUGGAGCCAUCAGUGAGAUACCACUCUUGUAAUGUUAGAUUUCUAACUUUGAAUCAUUAUCUGGUCAAAGAACAGUUUCAGGCGGGCAGUUUGACUGGGGCGGUCGCCUCCUAAACGGUAACGGAGGCGUACAAAGGUUUCCUCUGAACGGUUAGAAAUCGUAUCUAGAGUGUAAAGGCAUAAGGAAGCUUGACUGUGAGACCUACAAGUCGAGCAGGGACGAAAGUCGGUCUUAGUGAUCUGACGGUACUGAGUGGAAAGGCCGUCACUCAACGGAUAAAAGUUACUCUAAGGAUAACAGGCUGAUCUCCCCCAAGAGUUCACAUCGACGGGGAGGUUUGGCACCUCGAUGUCGGCUCAUCGCAUCCUGGGGCGGUAGUACGUCCCAAGGGUUGGGCUGUUCGCCCAUGAAAGCGGUACGCGAGCUGGGUUCAGAACGUCGUGAGACAGUUCGGUCCAUAUCCGGUGUAGGCGUUAGAAUAUUGAGAGGAGCCUUCUUUAGUACGAGAGGACCGAGAAGGACAUACCUCUGGUGUACCAGUUAUCGUGCCAACGGUAAACGCUGGGUAGCUAUGUAUGGAGUGGAUAACCGCUGAAAGCAUCUAAGUGGGAAGCCCACCUCAAGAUAAG